rfam:Pelagicola litorisediminis strain CECT 8287 genome assembly, contig: 0003
UUGUGCCGGGAUCGCCCUCCGUCAGCGCGUUGCGCCCACGGGGGCGCUUAACG